CAGGUGCUUUGGAAACAAGAGGUGAAAAUGAAAGUUGUGAGAGAUCUCUUUCCCUAUCAAUCACUAAAGAGCCUACUAUCAUCUUCUUUAAGAGAAAUCACUGAGAGCUGGGGAUGUCUGCGAGGCCCUGGGCUCCUAAUGAGUGGUUUCACAUAUAAGGGCAAUGGGUUCAGUUUUUGCCUUAUUGUUGGAGUCUCUGGCAACUGCACUUCCCUGUUAACCCUUGCUACGUUUCCAAGGCCUUUUCAGAGAAAAAGUGAUAAAAAGAAACCUUCAGAGUUGGAGAAUUGGGCUGGAUGUGCUAAGAAGACCCAUCCGCUCCCAGGCAAAUCUUCAUGGCACAGCAGGAUUUGCUGGUAGUGUUUGGAUACAGAUCAGGAAUCAGCCCUCAAAGUUGGUAUGGAACUAACUGAGGAAAAGUGGAGUGAGAAGGCAGAGUGGGGUAUUGAAUCUUGGGAGAUGACAACUCCAGGAGCAAGAAUAUUAUCUUCUUAGCAUGGCUGCAUCUCCAGCAUAUUGAGAAAACCCAGCUGAGCACAUCUAAGCCAGAAGAAUAAAAGGUAUCAAUGAAACCCC
rnacentral:lncRNA from 1 species